rnacentral:tRNA from 3 species
GGACGGGUACCCAAGUGGCUAAAGGGGGCAGACUGUAAAUCUGCUGCACACAAGCUUCAGAGGUUCAAAUCCUCUCCCGUCCACCA